GCAUAGAGGCAAACGGGUGGAUCCGCAGUCGGCCCGGGGAAUUCAGCGCAGCAGGCUUGGGCCAUCGGUCGCGUCGGGAUUCAACCAGCGGUGCGCUCCUCGCAGGCAGCGUGCACUUUCUCCGGUGCCGAGAGCCAUGACCGGUUUCUGCGGCAGUUAGGAAACCAGAUAGCUGAGCCCUCGGGGCGAGUGAUACAGGUCGCCGCGGUGGACCUGUCGCGAGACCGAGCUUGCCACGUUCUGCGGCUUCGGGCCGUCCGGGUGUUCUCGACUUGGGCUCACUGUCUCGGCAGUGUGCUCAGACCGCGCGCCUGGACGGGCUCGUCUGUCCGCGAACGUCUCGGGUCAGUGGCGAAUCGGUCGGUCCUCCACCCGACCCGUCUUGAAACACGGACCAAGGAGUCUAGCAUGUGCGCGAGUCAUGGGGCACGAAACCCAAAGGCGCAACGAAAGUGAAGGCCGCCUCCGGCUGGCCUAGGCAGGAUCCCGUCCCGUGCGCGGGGCGGGCGCACUGCCGGCCCGUCUCGACGGCAUCGCCCGCGAGGCGGAGCAAGAGCGCACACGCUGGGACCCGAAAGAUGGUGAACUAUGCUUGAGUAGGACGAAGUCAGAGGAAACUCUGAUGGAGGUCCGCAGCGAUUCUGACGUGCAAAUCGAUCGUCAAACUUGAGUAUAGGGGCGAAAGACUAAU
rnacentral:rRNA from 1 species